GCAGGUACCAACGACCUGGGAGCAGUGCUUCUUCUUUUCAGCAUCCCUAUGAUUUCCAGAAAUCAGUUGGAAUUGUACUUUAAAAUUAGAUGCUCAGUUAAUUCCCCCACAAAUCCCUGCCAAAGCACCUCAAUGCCUGCCCUGACUUAUUUUUUCAACUUAGCUUUGUUUUGUUUUUUUUAACUUCUCAAGUUUUGACUCAGUCCCUUGAAUGGGAGGCUGCUGUGUGAAGGAGCACGAGGAUGGACUGGAGCAUCUAAAUGGAGGCCCCCAAAUGUGAGCGUUUUUCCCUUAACCUUCCUGCACCAUUGGGAAUAAUAAUUCCUCGCAGGGCUGUUGCACAGCUUGAUUCAUUAAGGUUUAUGAAGUGCUUUUAGCUCCGGCACUGGAAGGCUCUGUGCAGGUUAUUUUGGACUGCUCAGGUGUUCGGAGGAGAGGCGCUGCAGAAGGAAUACAAAUAAAUCAAGAAGAGAAACUGCCCCUUUCCACCAUCCAGCCCCUGCCCCCCACUGCUCUCCAUCACUGUUGGUGUCAAACAGUUAAUUUACAAGCCCAGCAUUUUACAAAGCCCCUGGAGCACCAAUUGUCCCUUUCUCAUGCAACAUCAGCUCCUCAAAAAAGCCAGCUGAGUCUCCAGGGGUCACCCUCUCCUGCCCUUCCUGAGGCAACUUCAGCCCUUAUCCAAAACCCCCUGGACAUUUAAUUUUGGACAAUUCUGAUCCAGCCUCACCCCCUUUCAGCACGAUGCUGCAAGCACCGAAAUAGCCCCAGGGCGCAGGGUGGCUGCUCUUGGGGCUCUGUUCCUGGCCAGGGAGGCAAUAUUCACUUGGGGAAAGGUGUCCCAGAUCUCCCACCCAACCCACCACCCGCGGAGGCAGCAUCCCCAUGCACGGCAUAGGGAUGGUGCCACCCAGGGAGCACGGAGCCACCCAGGGACAGGGGAAGGUGCAGCCCGGCAGGACAAACAGGGACAUCAAUGGGUAAGGAGCCGGGUUUGUGGCUUGGGAAGGUAAAGGCGGUGGAUGUCUCACAUGGGGUGUUUUUUUUCCCUCCCUCCCUCGCUCCGUCUCCCUCCCCUCCUCCAGUCUGUUGCACGGGAGCUGCCGGCCACGCUGUUCCAGUUCAGGGGCUCCUGCAACAGAAAAGAUCAGCUGUUGGAGAACCCAUGGAAAGCCCUGGGGGAGAGCCAUGGCCGCAAGACCUCUCGUGGGAGGUUUCCUCUCUUGAACUUCAGCCAUUGAAAAUUUAGACACCUCAGCUAAGUUCCCAAAUCCACAAACACAAACUGUGUAUCCCUCCUUGGCAUCUCUGACAACCGCCUUCCACUGAGAGAAAUUAUUCUCUGGAUGUACCUCAAUUUAAUUUGAAAAUAAAAUGGGAUUUAAAACAAAAGAAAGGGAAAUG
ensembl:lncRNA